UACAUAAGGUUUAAAUGAAGACUCUGCAGUAUAAAUCUCUACUUUCAAAGUGAUCACUAUUCAGAGGGAAGAAAGCCUCUGUUCCAGAAAGCUUACCAUUGUUAGUGGAACUGGAAGAAAUAGCAACAAAAGUGUCUGGAUAACCCAUUGAAACUUAUUCGAUGAAACAGUGUCAGACGUAGCCAUUUUUAAAAUUACUUCUGAAGUACAUCUGGACUGUGGUUUGGGAAUGUCACACAGUCAGCCUAACCCACAGAAAUGAAACAGUCUAUGAACUCUAAGAAGUAAUAGAGAAGAAGGAAGUGUGGCUGAAAGCCAUUCCAUUCAGGAUCUUUGGCCAAAAGAGACACAGCCUUUCUGAUAUCAUCCUUACAGGAGCAUAGUUUUCAGGAGUCACAGGAAACUCCCGGUGACUACAGAGAAGAACUUAAUCUACACUACAAGG